AUACGGAGGAUGCGAGCGUUAUCCGGAUUUAUUGGGUUUAAAGGGUGCGCAGGCGGGCGAUUAAGUCAGCGGUGAAAGGCUCGGGCUCAACCGGAGCAGUGUCGUUGAUACUGGUUGUCUUGAAUGCGGUCAAGGCCGGCGGAAUGUGGCGUGUAGCGGUGAAAUGCAUAGAUAUGCCAAAGAACACCGAUAGCGAUGGCAGCUGGCCGGGCCUGCAUUGACGCUGAGGCACGAAAGCGUGGGGAUCGAACAGGAUUAGAUACCCUGGUAGUCCACGCUGUAAACGAUGGACACUCGUUGUCGGCGACAGACAGUCGGCGGCCAAGCGAAAGUGAUAAGUGUCCCACCUGGGGAGUACGGUCGCAAGGCUGAAACUCAAAUGAAUUGGCGGGG
rnacentral:rRNA from 1 species